rnacentral:rRNA from 1 species
AUAAAUGACUCUCGGCAACGGAUAUCUCGGCUCACGCAUCGAUGAAGAACGUAGCAAAAUGCGAUACUUGGUGUGAAUUGCAGAAUCCCGUGAACCAUCGAGUUUUUGAACGCAAGUUGCGCCCGAAGCCUUUUGACUGAGGGCACGUCUGCCUGGGCGUCACAC